AGGCUGAAACCCUAGGAAACUCACUAAAAAACCCUGCGCCCACUUUUAUUUCUUUUCUUUCUUUUUCACUCAGAAGUUUUAGACUUUCUACUCAUGCACAAGGGUUCCUCACACCCCACUUUCUCUCUCAAAAAAUUUCUUACGCAGGCCCUAGCUUUCUCCUCUUUUUAAAACAAUUCAAAACGUGUCUUAUCCGCAUG
rnacentral:lncRNA from 1 species